UGGCUAUUUCUUUGCUUCAAGGGAGCAGAAAACCAACCUAGAAACUAGACAUGAUGAAAAGUAUGUGGCUGGAAACAUACUUUUGGGGUUUGGGUAAUAUUUGAAAUUAUUGAGAAUAUUUGAGGCCUUCCGUGCUCUGCCACAAUAAAUUAACCAAACAUCACCUGUUAUUAAGUGUUAGUUGGAUCCGAUGCGUUUCCUUGGCCUGUAAAUUGAGCAUGGCCGGAUCGACAAGAUAUUUAUGUGGCUUUCAUAAGAGCCAGCUCAGAGCUGCUAUUGGCUGUUACUAUUCUGUGGGUAAAUCAUGGCGUGCUUGUUAUCUGGUUACCACUGGUUUUGAAAGGAAAUGAGUGUUUGAGGCAGUUGUGAUAAAGAGUGAGGCUUAGGUGCAGUGUUGUCUUUGCUGUCUGGAUGGUUACAGGUUUAUUAAUGUUUUCUGUAUAAAUCUGGCUUUCAUCUCGCAGCCGUUCUGUAUGAUUUUUGUUGGUUUUUUUUUUUUUACUUUAUUUUAAAGGCAAUCGUCAUAUUAGGUAACAUGGUAACCAAAGUACAUUUUACAACAUAUAUAAUUUAUACAGCUCUUAUCUAACUGCUGAUGAUACUACCCUACCCAACUCAUAGUACCAUCCCCACAGCUAUGACCUCAGCACAUAAGAGAUAGAUCCUUUCGAGGUCUUGCUGGACCCUUUAUCAAAAUUUGGGAAAUACUUAAUGAAUGACACGAUUAUACUCAUUAGUGGCACUUUCGAGUUAAAAUAGUGCAUGGCGGCUGCUAUCAUGAAUGACACAAGUCCUAAUCGGCACUAAUCGCGCUUGAUAACGAAGAGCAUGCACCCGAAAUGUUCGCAAUACUUAACAGAGAGAUACAGACAAAAAGCCCACUAAUUAGCGCGGAAAGUCAUGUGAAUGCCAGCACAGCAACGUACCUAGCAGUCAGUCCGCCUCCCUUCAUUUGAGAGAAGAGACCGCCUACCAAUAAAAACCGAACCUUCUCUCCCAAUCCAGACAAAGGGGACGACGGAUCCGCGGCGGCGCGCACUGAGCCUGAGCAUCUCAGCACCUUGGAUUGAUCCGACGCGCAAGAACGCACCGGCACACACGCGAGCACGCCCUCCAGAUCUACCUGAAACCUCCACGCCAGUUAAUUGUCAUUGUUGAAGGGCGAGAAAAGGGAGAUUGAACCCCGAUUUUAUUCGCAGCCUCGCCGUGUUCCCAUGAUGUCAUACCUGUGGAUUCUGCUAUUAGGAAGCCUGCUGGCUACGCACGCCAAGGCACAAGAGGCCAGCUCAAGCUCUUUAGCAGCAAUCCUUAGUGCGAUUGUUGUGUCUGCAGUGGGAGCAAUCGCUGGAUACUUCACCUAUCAACAGAAGAAGCUGUGCUUCAAAAAUAGACAGGAAGCAGACCCUGAGGCUCCACACAAAGCUGAUGCAGCAGAGGCUCGGUCAGAUCCCCAGGUUCUUAGCAACCUUCUGAACUCCUCCUAGACCUGAAACGAUCACCUUACCGCCCGGGCCAACUACAGUCUAACAAAGUGGCAGUCUCACUGUUCGGCUCUGUCCUCUGUAGAGCUAAAUUACUGUGAGGCCCCAGAGUAGGGCUGCGUGUUUCAGUCUGAAUUUCUAUGUCUGUAUGUUGCUCUACACGAGCUUGCGUGGAUGUGUCUCAGUGUGCGUGUGAAUAAUAUCCGUUCAUUCUUGUGUGUGCAUAAAUGUGGAAAGAAGGAGCUAGAAAAAGAUCAUGUGAUCUUUAGGGCUUUCAUUAUUGUUAAAAAAAUGUAUUAAAAUAAUUGGUCAAACACUCUACUUUAAACCAAAUUAUUAUAAUUUUUUUCAGAGUGGCCAUUAAAGAGAUUUAAUCUCAAUUUACGUAUAACCAUAAAAUGGAUUAAUUAUAUACCUACCUUUUAAUUUUAUUUAUAUGGCUACUAUUAAUUCAAUGUAAAUACAAAACAGUAACUGAAAUCGAUGUUGUAGGUGUUUAACUUGUAAUUGUUUCUUUGGAAUUUUAUACAAUUUUGCCAUUGUUGAACUGCCCGUAUGAUUUUAAAUCAUUUAGAUAAGACAUUUCUUUUUCAAUUAUCUAUAGUACAGAUGCAGGUUAACUGGAUAACAGGGGGACACAGUAGCAAGCAUUUUGUGGAGUCUGGUUAGGAGCUGUGGUAAAGGAUUUAAAGACGAGUAUUCUUGGGAUGCGUGGUCAAAUGUGUUUAGAUGACCACCGAUGUCACUGAAUGUGUGUGCUUGUUUUCUGAUAGGUGAAGGGGCUUGAUUUAAAAUCCUGUUAAGUGACCGUUUCUCCUCGGUCGGUUGAAUACAUUAAAAGAUGACACAAAUCAAAUACAGCCUAAGAUUCAAGUCAUAUUAAUUUAGGAAAUACCAAAAACAAGCCAACAAAAAUAUAUUGUGUAAACUUACUAAAGUACGAUGAAGUAAAGUCUAAUCCUGACAUGGACAAAUUCAAUGGAGGUCAUGUAGUAAUGUAUUAGACUUUGUUCUGAUGUAGUAUGUGUGUAGUUGUGAAGCAGUCUUUUUUUUUUUCUCUAUAGUGCCUUUCACUGACACAGCCUGGCUUGAGCAAUCUACAGACACACAGAGAAGAUAUACAGGGUGACAAAUUAAAGGAUGGUUUAUGCUGCAGGGAGAUUUUUUUGUUGCUGUUUCAAAUUUCAAAUUUCUGAGCUAUUCUAAAUUUAAAACAUUUCACUUUGAUGGCUGAAGUCUCUUACAAGAUGAAAAUACACCCAUCCAAAUUGCCUGUUUAAUUGCUUGGUAAGAAUGAAAAUAAUGGGAUCCAUAAACUAUGGACUUAUCAGUCUGAGAUCUCCCCCCAGGUCUCCAACAACGUUAUCAAAAUACAUAAUGAGGGAAUAUUUUUUCAGAAGAAUAUUGUUUUAUUCCUCCAAUAGUUCCAGAGACAUGAACUGGCUUAACACUUUAAACACCCUUAAUGCUGGGUCAACCUUUAACUUUUUACCCAUCUGUUACUGAGAAGACAAGCAAACCAGUAGGAGGCUAUAACAAUGAAAGAGUGUUCUGUAUUCAUUCUUAAUCUGUCAUUUACGCAAUUACAUUUUUUAAAAUUAAACUGCUCAUGCAUGUAAAAUAAUAACACAAACAUAACAGCUGCUGUAUGUGUGUCCACAGUCGGGCCGUUUACAGUCUUAGUUAUUUUAGCUAAUCUUGCAAUCUAAACUCUUUCAACCACCUCCGCUGGUGGCAGAUGUAAAACUCUUCUCAUUGUGUGUCUCUUUAUUUGAGCAAGCCAGCUGCUGUAACAGUGUAUUUUUAUUGUUCAUGUAUCCACAUUACAAACGCCAUUCACUUGUGAUUUUUUUAUAGGAAUCCUUUACAUUUAGCAGCCAUGCCUCGGAGCCGACAGAUUGUCUUUAGUCAACUUGUUUGCUGUGCUAUUUUGUUAAUAUUAUUGUAAAAUGCAAAGAAUGCAGCGCUACGGCUUUUUUCCAAAUGUAGCACACACACAAAAAAAUCGUAACUUCUGAAUGUCUUUUUUGUUGCCUUGAAGUUUUGUACUUGCCCUGCUCCCUUUAAACUUUGAUAUAUGGCUAUAGAGGCUGCAUAGUGCUGCAGGUCAUGUAAUGUGUGUUACUUGUAAAGCACCAUAUAGCUGCAAUACAGGACAGAGACUGUUGCUAACAGCCUAGCCUCAAGCUGAGAAAUGUUAAUAAUCUGUGAUCAAUUCCACUCUACAAACUGUGGGUCAGACGCAGUGUCAGCGAUCUGCCUUCUUAACCUGUAAUCUGUGACAGACAAAAGCUGUUUUCUCUUGUAACACUGAACUACGUAGAUAGUGUAUCAGGAGUGACAAUGCACAAAAAAUACCCACUCAAUAAUAAUAAUACAAAUAGGACUAGCCACCGAUGCCUUCAAAAUACAAAUUUUUUCUUUAAAUGCAGUACUGCCCUGCAGUGAACAAAAGCACUGAAAUGUCCUGCGAUGCUCUUUUAGAUAACUUCCUGUAAUGGAGACUCGUACAAUAAUCCAGAAAAAUUCGAUAUGCGUUGCUUGCACUGAGGACAUCAUGGUCAACAAUACAUUUUGCCGAAACACUCUCGGUCAAUAAUUCAGUCUUAUUUAUAUUAUAUCAAUUCACAACUACAGUCACCUCAUGGUGCUUGAUCCCAGCAAUACAAAGUAUCAGAACACAGCAUUCAAACUAGAAUGUAAACCUUGAGUGUUGUAAACUCAUUGGGUCCUGAAGUGCACUUGCCACAUAACACUAGGGCAUCAAUCAUGGCACUGACCAGUCCUGCCUUAUUCCUUAUAUGCUCUUGAAUAUUCCUGAUAGGAAAACAAACAAUAAUGUCAUCAUAAAAAAACGACACAGCGACACAAGCAGAGAUUUUUUUUGUAAUCUCAAUGGGAGAAGCACGUUCCUAUCCUGUAUACAUCUUGAUUUACUACACAUAUAUAGACAAUUCAUUUGUUCUUCUUCUGACUUCCUGUUUAUUUAAAUAUUCUGUGUGGUUUUUGUGUAGGAACUGUCCUUUUUAUUUUUGUCAUCUGGCACUUGUGUUCUUCUGGAGUUGUGUAAAUAAUGUUUGAGGAAUCAAUUAAACAGUUUUUGUGGGAUUUCUUUUUCUUUCAUUUUUAGCCACUGUUGAUAGACCAGUUCAUCACUUUGGUAUACAUCAAAAACUCUUCAGUGAUGUAAUGGAUUAUUGUAGAACGGACAUUCAAGGUCACCAGAAGAUUAAUUGAAUUAGCACCAUCUAAAGUUAUUGUAGUUUGACAAUUACUUUGGUUUAUGCCAAAAUACAUUAGUAUUUAGAUUUCCCAUUAGUCAAAGCAGUGUUUGUUUUUAUUGCUAAUUCUAAAAUGUAUGUUUUGUUUGUUAAUGUGCUCAAAUCUAAUGGCAAACAUGUAGACUGGC
ensembl:lncRNA